AUUGAACGCUGGCGGCAGGCCUAACACAUGCAAGUCGAGCGGAUGAAGGGAGCUUGCUCCUGGAUUCAGCGGCGGACGGGUGAGUAAUGCCUAGGAAUCUGCCUGGCAGCGGGGGAUAACGUCCGAAAACGGGCGCUAAUACCGCAUACGUCCUGAGGUAGAAAGUGGGGGAUCUUCGGGCCUCACGCUCUCAGAUGAGCCUAGGUCGGAUUAGCUAGUUGGUGGGGUAAAGGCCUACCAAGGCGACGAUCCGUAACUGGUCUGAGAGGAUGAUCAGUCACACUGGAACUGAGACACGGUCCAGACUCCUACGGGAGGCAGCAGUGGGGAAUAUUGGACAAUGGGCGAAAGCCUGAUCCAGCCAUGCCGCGUGUGUGAAGAAGGUCUUCGGAUUGUAAAGCACUUUAAGUUGGGAGGAAGGGCAGUAAGUUAAUACCUUGCUGUUUUGACGUUACCAACAGAAUAAGCACCGGCUAACUUCGUG
rnacentral:rRNA from 1 species